GUCUAUGGCCAUGCCACCCUGAACAAGCCCGAGCCCAUCUGAUCUCGGAAGCUAAGCAGGUUUAGGCUUGGUUAGUACUUGGAUGGGAGACUACCUAAGAAGACCAGGUGCUGUAGGUG
rnacentral:rRNA from 1 species